rnacentral:rRNA from 1 species
CAACCUGCCCACCACUUGGGGAUAACCUUGCGAAAGUAAGACUAAUACCCAAUGAUAUCUCUAGAAGACAUCUGAAAGAGAUUAAAGAUUUAUCGGUGAUGGAUGGGGAUGCGUCUGAUUAGCUUGUUGGCGGGGUAACGGCCCACCAAGGCAACGAUCAGUAGGGGUUCUGAGAGGAAGGUCCCCCACAUUGGAACUGAGACACGGUCCAAACUCCUACGGGAGGCAGCAGUGAGGAAUAUUGGUCAAUGGACGAGAGUCUGAACCAGCCAAGUAGCGUGCAGGAAGACGGCCCUAUGGGUUGUAAACUGCUUUUAUAAGGGAAUAAAGUGAGAGUCGUGACUCUUUUUGCAUGUACCUUAUGAAUAAGGACCGGCUAAUUCCGUGCCAGCAGCCGCGGUAAUACGGAAGGUCCGGGCGUUAUCCGGAUUUAUUGGGUUUAAAGGGAGCGUAGGCCGGAGAUUAAGCGUGUUGUGAAAUGUAGAUGCUCAACAUCUGCACUGCAGCGCGAACUGGUUUCCUUGAGUACGCACAAAGUGGGCGGAAUUCGUGGUGUAGCGGUGAAAUGCUUAGAUAUCACGAAGAACUCCGAUUG